UACGUAGGGCGCAAGCGUUGUCCGGAAUUAUUGGGCGUAAAGAGCUCGUAGGCGGCUUGUCACGUCGGGUGUGAAAGCCCGGGGCUUAACCCCGGGUCUGCAUUCGAUACGGGCAGGCUAGAGUGUGGUAGGGGAGACUGGAAUUCCUGGUGUAGCGGUGGAAUGCGCAGAUAUCAGGAGGAACACCGAUGGCGAAGGCAAUCCCCUGGACCUGUACUGACGCUCAUGCACGAAAGCGUGGGGAGCAAACAGG
rnacentral:rRNA from 1 species